UUAAUAUUUUGUGCUUAUAGAAUCCGUAUAGAACUCGUAUAGCUCGAUAUCAAACCUUAUGAACACCAGAAUAUAAACUCAAACAAGAAACUCUUCUUAUUGAACUCUCACAAUGUCUUAGAAAAUCACUAGAAACUAAGACUCUCACAAACUCAUAAAACUCACACAUUAUGCAACACUCUUGCAUAACCUUAUAUAUCCCUCUAAUUAUCCUAAACUCAUUAGGAAUAACACAACUAGAUAUUUCCUAUUCUUUCUAGAUAAACAUAACUCAAGUAAAAUAGGAAACUUGUAUCCCAAGUUAUUCAAGCUUAUC
rnacentral:lncRNA from 1 species